rnacentral:rRNA from 2 species
AGCUCAGCAUUGGGCAUAAAGCGUGCGCAGGCGGCUAUGCAAGACAGAUGUGAAAUCCCCGGGCUCAACCUGGGAACUGCAUUUGUGACUGCAUGGCUAGAGUACGGUAGAGGGGGAUGGAAUUCCGCGUGUAGCAGUGAAAUGCGUAGAUAUGCGGAGGAACACCGAUGGCGAAGGCAAUCCCCUGGACCUGUACUGACGCUCAUGCACGAAAGCGUGGGGAGCAAACAGGAUUAGAUACCCUGGUAGUCCACGCCCUAAACGAUGUCAACUGGUUGUUGGACGGCUUGCUGUUCAGUAACGAAGCUAACGCGUGAAGUUGACCGCCUGGGGAGUACGGCCGCAAGGUUGAAACUUAAAAAAUUGACGG